GAGACAGUAGAGAGACAGAAGGUAAAAGAAGAGAGAGAGAGAGAUAAAGCCCUUGAAUUGACAAUUGAGAGACCGUAGAGACAGAAGGUAAAAGAAGAGAGAGACAGUAGAGAGACAGAAGGUGAAAGAAGAGAGAAAGUAGAGAGACAGACGGUAAAAGAAGAGAGAGAGAGAGAGACAGAAGGUGAAAGAAGAGAGAGACAGUAGAGAGACAGAAGGUGAAAGUAGAGAGACAGACGGUAAAAGAAGAGAGAGAGAGAGAGACAGAAGGUAAAAUAAGAGAGAGACAGUAGAGAGACAGAAGGUAAAAGAACAGAGAGACAGUAGAGAGACAGACGGUAAAAGUAGGGAGAGAGAGAGAGAGACCGUAGAGAAACAGACGGUAAAAGUAGGGAGAGAGAGAGAGAGAGACAGAAGGUAAAAUAAGAGAGAGAGAGACAGAAGAUAAAAGAAGAGAGAGACAGAAGAUAAAAGAAGAGAGAGAGAGAGACCGUAGAGACAGAAGGUAAAAGAAGAGAGAGACAGUAGAGACAGAAGGUAAAAGAAGAGAGAGACAGUAGAGAGACAGACGGUAAAAGAAGAGAGAGAGAGAGACAGACGGUAAAAGAAGAGAGAGACAGUAGAGAGACAGACGGUAAAAGAAGAGAGAGAGACAGACGGUAAAAGAAGAGAGAGAGAGAGAAAGACCGUAUAGACAGAAGGUAAAAGAAGAGAGAGACAGUAGAGAGACAGACGGUAAAAUAAGAGAGAGAGAGAGAGACAGGAGUUUGAUUAAAGAGAACAAAAUCUCAAACAAGAGUCAGAAGACAGAGAGUGCGUGUCAUCAGCAAUCAGCUAAUUCCACUAGCUAACACUGGCUCCAUAAUCAGAUACUCAUUGAUCAAGCUGUUGGACGUCGACACAUAGCCUACGUCCCAAAUGACACCCUUUUCCCUACAUAGUGCACUACUUUUAACCGGAGCCCUAUGGGCCCUAUUCAAAAGUUGUGCACUAUAUAAGGAAUAGGGUCCAUUUGGGAUGAAGCCAUAGAGUUCACAGAGGUCCAGACUCAAUUAAAGCCUCAUCCAAAGAACUACAGAGGAACAGGUCCAGUCGAUAUCCUCCUCUUCCCUCUCUGUACCCCCUGACAACUCUACCACCCUACCCCCGGUCAAAGGGGAACCCCUUCGAGACUCCAACCCCACUCACAGUCAAGGGCUUUGGGAGAGAUCUUCCCCACAUAUCCCCCUUCCCUCCAAAGCCACAGUGCAGUACAGUGAUGCUCAUGAAGUAAAGAUUUAAGUUGGCUCUUUGGGAAUGUUUCUGUGAAGUGAACAUGGCUCUUUGGGAAAGUUUCUCUGAAGUGAAC